ACUUCGUUCCGCGCCUCAAAGGCGGAGUGCGGGGCUGUGGGAGAAAACGAGAGCCUCGGGCUGUCGCCCGGCGACGGGCGGCUGAGGCCUUCGUAUUCUUAGAACUUUUAGAAUCUGAAGCAAACUUAUCUUCCCCCUGUCUGAAGAAGGGGAGCAGGUUUCUGAGUACUCCGGGGCGCGGUGCCUCCCCCUAAACGCGAAUGGAACUUUUGGGAAAUGCCCCUCCCCCAGCCCCUUGUCUGGGGCAACUUCCUUGUCUCUUCUCCCCCACCGGUGUUGGGGAGUUCCUUGUCUCCACUCCCAACCACAGAGCCACAAGUACAUUAUCUAUGCCCAGGCGAGUCCCUAUGCCCAGGCUAGGAGAGCCGCACUUCUUCCUACAGCUGACACGUUUGGUUUUUGGAGGGGAAAGGGGAGCUGUAGCUGAAUCAGUAAUGGAAAUUGAUGAACCUGUGAUGUGACUCCUGGGAGUAGUUUGCAAUCACCAUUGGCCCAAAAGGAGCCAUCUACGUGCUCAGUGGGGUCUAGUAAAGGAUAAUAUUAAUUCUU
rnacentral:lncRNA from 1 species